rnacentral:rRNA from 1 species
UCUGUGAACUCCUACGGGAGGCAGCAGAGGGGAAUAUUGCACAAUGGGCGAAAGCCUGAUGCAGCGACGCCGCGUGAGGGAUGACGGCCUUCGGGUUGUAAACCUCUUUCAGCAGGGACGAAGCGCAAGUGACGGUACCUGCAGAAGAAGCACCGGCUAACUACGUGCCAGCAGCCGCGGUAAUACGUAGGGUGCAAGCGUUGUCCGGAAUUACUGGGCGUAAAGAGUUCGUAGGCGGUUUGUCGCGUCGUUUGUGAAAACCAGCAGCUCAACUGCUGGCUUGCAGGCGAUACGGGCAGACUUGAGUACUGCAGGGGAGACUGGAAUUCCUGGUGUAGCGGUGAAAUGCGCAGAUAUCAGGAGGAACACCGGUGGCGAAGGCGGGUCUCUGGGCAGUAACUGACGCUGAGGAACGAAAGCGUGGGUAGCGAACAGGAUUAGAAACCCUGGUAGUCCAUCAGCG